rnacentral:rRNA from 1 species
AGCGUAGCCACAGUGAAAGCGAGUCUGAAUAGGGCGACAAGUCGGCGGAUUAGACCCGAAACCGGGUGAUCUAUCCAUGAGCAGGUUGAAGCAGGGGUAAAGCCUUGUGGAGGACCGAACCAGUUCUGGCUGAAAACAGUUUGGAUGACUUGUGGAUAGGGGUGAAAGGCCAAUCAAACCCGGUGAUAGCUGGUUCUCCCCGAAAUAUAUUGAGGUAUAGCCUCGCGGAUUGUCUUGUGGAGGUAAAGCACUGACAGAGCUAGGGGUCCUACCCGACUACCAACCUCUAUCAAACUCUGAAUACCACUAAGAUCUACCGCGGGAGUCAGACGGCGGGUGCUAAGGUUCGUCGUCGAAAGGGCAACAGCCCAGACCGCCGGCUAAGGCCUCCAAAUGCAUGCUCAGUGGUUAAGGUGGUGGCGUUGUAGAGACACCCAGGACGUUGGCUUAGAAGCAGCCAUCGUUUAAAGAAAGCGUAAUAGCUCACUGGUCUAAUGACGCUGCGCCGAAAAUGUAACGGGGCUAAGCAUGCUGCCGAAGCCGCGGACUAGUCUUUGACUAUUGGUAGGGGAGCGUUCCCUGCGGGUUGAAGGUGCAUCGAAAGGUGUGCUGGACUUCAGGGAAGUGAUUAUGCUGACAUGAGUAACGAUAAAAUGUGCGAGAAACACAUUCGCCGUAAAUCCAAGGUUUCCUGGGUAAAGGUAAUCUUCCCAGGGUUAGUCGGCCCCUAAGGCAAGGCUGAAAGGCGUAGCUGAUGGGAAACGGGUUAACAGUCCCGUACUUGUACGACCGCGCGAUGGAGGGACGGAGAACGGUAGGCAAUCCGGUUACUGGAUUCCGGUGCAAGCGCGUAGGCGUGCCCUGCAGGCAAAUCCGCAGGGCUGAGCCGAGACGCGAUGCCGCGGGAGCAAUCCCUGAAGUUGCCGAGCCGCCGCUUCCUAGAAAAGCUUCUAAGUAUAGGCCGUGCAAACCGUACCGCAAACCGACUCAGGUGGAUGGGAUGAAUAAUCCAAGGCGCUCGAGAGAACUCUGGCCAAGGAACUCGGCAAAAUAACCCCGUACCUUCGGAAUAAGGGGUGCUCCUGCUGGUGGCUUAACGGCUGCUGGCGGGAGCCGCAGAGAAAUGGUGGUGGCGACUGUUUACUAAAAACAUAGGUCUGUGCGAAGUCGUAAAGACGACGUAUACGGACUGACGCCUGCCCGGUGCCGGAAGGUUAAGAGGAGGAGUCAGCGCAAGCGAAGCCCCGAUUCGAAGCCCCGGUAAACGGCGGCCGUAACUAUAACGGUCCUAAGGUAGCGAAAUUCCUUGUC